UUAAUAUAAGAGCAAUUUUACGGUCCUUUAGGAGGUACCAUGAGGUAACAUUUUUUCUAGAGCAAUUUUACGGUCCUUUAGAAGGUACCAUGAAGUACCAUUUUUUCUAUUGUAAAUUUGGUACCUCAUGGUACCUAGGUACAAUGAGGUACCAAAAUUUACAAUAAAAUUUUGGUACCUCAUGGUACCUCCUCAAGGACCGUAGAAUUGCUCUUUUUUCUAUUAUAAAUUUGGUACCUCUUGGUAUACUAUGAGGUACCAUGAGGUACCAAAUUUAGGUUAGAUAUCUCAAGGUACUUUCUUAAGGACCAUAAAAUUUCUCUAAAUUUGA
rnacentral:misc_RNA from 1 species